GCCCUACGGGACGCAGCAGUGGGGAAUAUUGGACAAUGGGGGGAACCCUGAUCCAGCGACGCCGCGUGAGUGAAGAAGUAUUUCGGUAUGUAAAGCUCUAUCAGCAGGGAAGAAAAUGACGGUACCUGACUAAGAAGCCCCGGCUAACUACGUGCCAGCAGCCGCGGUAAUACGUAGGGGGCAAGCGUUAUCCGGAUUUACUGGGUGUAAAGGGUGCGUAGGUGGUUUGACAAGUUGGUAGCGUAACUCCGGGGCUCAACCUCGGCACUACUACCAAAACUGUUGGACUUGAGUGCAGGAGGGGC
rnacentral:rRNA from 1 species